rnacentral:pre_miRNA from 1 species
UAUAAUGUUCUGACUCUUCGUUUUAUUUGAAUUUUUUUACGAUUAAUAUUUUUAUUGUUACUAAAUGAUAAAAUAUGAAUAGUACUUUAUGUGUGACUAAUUUUUUUAAGUUUUUGUAUAAAUUUUUUAAAUAAGACGAAUGAUUAAACAUUGGAUAUGAAAA